UAGAGGUGAGUGGAAUUUCAGGUGUAGCGGUGAAAUGCGUAGAGAUCUGAAGGAACUUCUUCUGGCGAAGGCGACUCACUGGGCCAUUACUGACGCUGAGGUGCGAAAGCGUGGGUAGCAAACAGGAUUAGAUACCCUGGUAGUCCACGCCCUAAACGAUGUCAACUAGGUGUAUGGAGAAUUUAUUCUUUGUGUAUCGAAGCUAACGCGAUAAGUUGACCGCCUGGGGAGUACGGUCGCAAGACUAAAACUCAA
rnacentral:rRNA from 1 species